UACGUAGGGGGCAAGCGUUGUCCGGAACCAUUGGGCGUAAAGCGCGCGUAGGCGGCUCGGAAAGUCGGUCGUGAAAUCCUGGGGCUCAACCCCGGAACUGCGUCCGAUACUUCCGAGCUGGAGGCAGGUAGGGGAGAUCGGAAUUCCUGGUGUAGCGGUGAAAUGCGCAGAUAUCAGGAGGAACACCGGUGGCGAAGGCGGAUCUCUGGGCCUUGCCUGACGCUGAGGCGCGAAAGCUAGGGGAGCGAACAGG
rnacentral:rRNA from 1 species